rnacentral:rRNA from 2 species
CGUACGCACUGGCCCAACUGAUUGAUGGUGCUUGCACCUGAUUGACGAUGGAUCACCAGUGAGUGGCGGACGGGUGAGUAACACGUAGGUAACCUGCCCCGGAGCGGGGGAUAACAUUUGGAAACAGAUGCUAAUACCGCAUAACAACAAAAGCCACAUGGCUUUUGUUUAAAAGAUGGCUUUGGCUAUCACUCUGGGAUGGACCUGCGGUGCAUUAGCUAGUUGGUAAGGUAACGGCUUACCAAGGCGAUGAUGCAUAGCCGAGUUGAGAGACUGAUCGGCCACAAUGGAACUGAGACACGGUCCAUACUCCUACGGGAGGCAGCAGUAGGGAAUCUUCCACAAUGGGCGCAAGCCUGAUGGAGCAACACCGCGUGAGUGAAGAAGGGUUUCGGCUUGUAAAGCUCUGUUGUUGGAAAAGAAUGUGCGUGAGAGUAACUGUUCACGCAGUGACGGUAUCCAACCAGAAAGUCACGGCUAACUACGUGCCAGCAGCCGCGGUAAUACGUAGGUGGCAAGCGUUAUCCGGAUUUAUUGGGCGUAAAGCGAGCGCAGGCGGUUGCUUAGGUCUGAUGUGAAAGCCUUCGGCUUAACCGAAGAAGUGCAUCGGAAACCGGGCGACUUGAGUGCAGAAGAGGACAGUGGAACUCCAUGUGUAGCGGUGGAAUGCGUAGAUAUAUGGAAGAACACCAGUGGCGAAAGCGGCUGUCUGGUCUGCAACUGACGCUGAGCUCGAAAGCAUGGGUAGCGAACAGGAUUAGAUACCCUGGUAGUCCAUGCCGUAAACGAUGAGUGCUAGGGGUUGGAAGGGUUUCCGCCCUUCAGUGCCGGAACUAACGCAUUAAGCACUCCGCCCUGGGGAGUACGACCGCAAGGUUGAAACUCAAAGGAAUUGACGGGGGCCCGCACAAGCGGUGGAGCAUGUGGUUUAAUUCGAAGCUACGCGAAGAACCUUACCAGGUCUUGACAUCUUGCGCUAACCUUAGAGAUAAGGCGUUCCCUUCGGGGACGCAAUGACAGGUGGUGCAUGGUCGUCGUCAGCUCGUGUCGUGAGAUGUUGGGUUAAGUCCCGCAACGAGCGCAACCCUUGUUACUAGUUGCCAGCAUUAAGUUGGGCACUCUAGUGAGACUGCCGGUGACAAACCGGAGGAAGGUGGGGACGACGUCAGAUCAUCAUGCCCCUUAUGACCUGGGCUACACACGUGCUACAAUGGACGGUACAACGAGUCGCAAGCUCGCGAGAGUAAGCUAAUCUCUUAAAGCCGUUCUCAGUUCGGACUGUAGGCUGCAACUCGCCUACACGAAGUCGGAAUCGCUAGUAAUCGCGGAUCAGCAUGCCGCGGUGAAUACGUUCCCGGGCCUUGUACACACCGCCCGUCACACCAUGGGAGUUUGUAACGCCCAAAGUCGGUGGCCUAACCUUUAUGGAGGGAGCCGCCUAAGGCGGGGCAGAUGACUGGGGUGAAGUCGUAACAA